GGACGGGUGAGUAACGCGUGGGAACAUACCCGACACUAAGGAAUAGCCUCUGGAAACGGAGAGUAAUACCUUAUACGCCCUACGGGGGAAAGAUUUAUCGGUGACGGAUUGGCCCGCGUUAGAUUAGGUAGUUGGUGGGGUAACGGCCCACCAAGCCGACGAUCUAUAGCUGGUUUGAGAGGAUGAUCAGCCACACUGGGACUGAGACACGGCCCAGACUCCUACGGGAGGCAGCAGUGGGGAAUCUUAGACAAUGGGGGAAACCCUGAUCUAGCCAUGCCGCGUGUGUGAUGAAGGCCCUAGGGUCGUAAAGCACUUUCGCCAGGGAUGAUAAUGACAGUACCUGGUAAAGAAACCCCGGCUAACUCCGUGCCAGCAGCCGCGGUAAUACGGAGGGGGUUAGCGUUGUUCGGAAUUACUGGGCGUAAAGCGCGCGUAAGCGGAUUAGUCAGUCAGAGGUGAAAUCCCAGGGCUCAACCCUGGAACUGCCUUUGAUACUGCUAGUCUUGAGUUCGAGAGAGGUGAGUGGAAUUCCGAGUGUAGAGGUGAAAUUCGUAGAUAUUCGGAGGAACACCAUUGGGAAGGCGGUCACUGGCUCGAUACUGAGCUAAGUGCCAAAGUGGGGGAACAGAGAGAUUCUAUACCCUGGUAGUGAAACCGUAAACGA
rnacentral:rRNA from 1 species